AUGGCUCCCGGAAGUGGGUGGCAUGGCUCCCGGAAGUGGGUGGCAUGGCUCCCGGAAGUGGGUGGGAUGGCUCCCGGAAGUGGGGAAAGGCUCCCGGGUCCCCUUCUGCCUCCUGAGAGAGGCGCAGGUUCGCUUUCAGCAGAGGAGGGGCCGGCCGCUAUCUUUGGUGGGACAUCUCUGAUGGCUCUGCGGGAGGGUGUGUCUUCCCCAUUUGCUCCAUCUUGUGCACUGGCAACAUUCCUAAGCUUCCCGGCGCCCCACCCGGACCAACACCCCGCCCGGAUGCCAGAGCAUGUCACGGAGUUCAUGGAAUAUGAAUUUCAAGAUGAACUGAUUUGGGUGCAAGACAUUCUGAAAUUCACGAGUCAUUCUGUAAUGGGCCUUCUCCAUGAACCGUGUGUGUGUGUGUGUGUGUGUGCCCAUGCACAUGUGCGUGGUGUUCCGUUCAGCCUGCCCAGGAUGAGGGACACACCAGCAGAGGAAGCUCCACGGUUUGUGGAAACAGCCAGAAAGACAAGGAACUGCAGGCUGGGGUCUGGGCCGCCGGACAGCGGGGAACUGCAGACCCGCAGGCCCGGAAGUGGGCAGUGAGAGCCGGCUCUCAGGGUGGUGUGGACGGAAGGGCUGGGGGGACUGCAGAGGUGUGUGCGGGGUGCCUUGUGGGGCAGACGUCAUCUUAGCGGGGAAGGGGCAGACGUCCUCUUAGCCGGGAAGGGGCCCGGCUCUGGAGAGGGGCAGGGGCUGAAUCCCCCCCCAAGGCCUGUGCUCCUGCCCUCACUCCUCUGGACCCCCACCCCGCGGGACCUAGGCAGGACUCCGGGGCCAGCUUGGGCUGAGGCAGGGCAGGUCAAGGCCUCUCAAGGUCGGCACUGCCCAGGCCAAGGAGCUGCCAGGGUAUCAUUUAACCCCUCAAGAAGCCCGCGAGGGUGGGUUUUUGGCCCCAUUUCAGAUCGGGAACCAGAGUUCCUGAGCCUCUCAGCUGAGUAAUGGCGGCCACGGCCCUGCUGUGCCCCCAUCGCGGCUCUCCC
rnacentral:lncRNA from 1 species